UCACGUAUGGUGUGUUCAUUUUGCAAACGGGAGUGAAGAAGUGAUGAUAUUUAAAUUAUUUGAAUUAUUACUUUAUAACACGUCAUCUUUUGUGUCUGUGUGUGUGUAUAUCUGUGUGUGUGUGAGGGUGGAGGAACAGUGACAGGAAUCGCUGGGUAGUGCCGGGGAGGGCGGGCGGCUGCAGUGUUUCGGCCUACGCUGGUCAGUCUUCCCCACGCACAAUGGUAAUAAGUGUUUCCGUAUUCCUGGCAGCUUCUCCCUGUACCAAGCACUGCCACGCAGCACCAGAGAGCCAUGAGUACGUAAGGAGAGCCCAGCAGUGUCAGACUUUUUGACGCGUUUUGAGUGUUGUUGGGGUGUUUUGAGUGCAUUAUGGAGUGUUUUUGUGUGUGGUUGUAUUGAGGUGCUGUGAGUGUGUUUUUAGUUUAUUUUGGGUGUUUUAAGUGUUUUGGGUGAGUUUGGGUGUGUGUGUGGUCUAUUGGGCGUAUUUGAGAGUGUGUGGCGUGUUCUGAGUGCGUUUGGGUGUGUUAGGGGCAUAUUCUGUGGUGAUGUGCGUGUUUUGGAUAUUUUAAUCGUGAUUUAAAUGUGUUUGGAUGAGUUUUGUGGGUAGUUUGGCGUGUUUUGUGUGUGUUUUGGAUGUUUUGAGUGUGUUUGGGUGAGUUUUGUGGGUAGUUUGGUGUGUUGUUGUCCCUAGGAAGGAGAGAAAGCGAGAUAAGACGGGACAUCAUGGUAAGCCUAACAUUUCUGCCAAUAUUACAGGAUACCACACGGAGGGGUGGUGAAGGAGCUUUGGGGAUGGCUGAAGGAAAGGCAGUGAAGGAGGGAGGCCUGGAGGUGAAGGAAAUGCAGAAAAUUCCUCUAAUACUGAGCGCUUCUCUGGUCAGACCAUCCUUCACUGAAUAUUUGGACCGACGCUUCGAGAUACGAGUGAGCCAGGUGACCCCCAGAACAGCGCGAUCCUGCCUACUUGUGGUGUGGGAGCCCUGAUCGUCCCCUUUCCUCCCUCCUCCUCCUCCUCCUCCUCUUCCCCCUCCAGCAUAGAAGAGACGUUUAAUCAGCUGGUGGACAGCGCUUCCUCCGCCCCCCUGUCAGAUAUGGAGGGGUUGGGGAAAGGAUGCCGUGUCCUUGAGUCUGCCCCUGACUGGCCAGCUGACGCCCAUUGAUAUCUCCAUGGCCGUGGUGAGGCAGGAGAGGACUCAAGGAUGGAGAGCUUAGGAUACCACACAGAGGAGGGUGAAGGAGCCUUGGGGAAGCCUGAAGGAGGGGCAGUGAAGGAGGGAGGCCUGGAGGUGAAGGAAAUGCAGAAAAUUCCUCUAAUAGUGAGCGCUUCGCUGGUCAGACCACCCCUCACUGAAUAUUUGGACCGAGGCUUCGAGAUACGAGAUGAGAAUCCGUUUUUUAGUGGUUUAAGCCAGUUUUAUGUGUUUUGGGUGUUUGUAGAUUGUUUUUAUCUUGUUUUGAGUAUUUUUUUUGGUUUGUGAAAGGAGGGAGAAAGCUUAAAUACAGUAAUAAUACCGAAAAAAAGGCUUAAAUUGAGAGUUUUAAAGUUAUCUUAGCGUAUAUUAAGCUGUUUUAAAUGUUUUAAGUUACCAGAAGAGAGGAAGCUUAAAUUUAAUAUUAGGAUAAGGAAAAAGCUUAUUUCUUGCAUUAAGAAGAAAGAAAAGCUUAAUAUUGCCACCUCAUCCCCCCAGCCCCCAGUGAGCCAGGUGACCCCCUAGAACAACGCCAUCCUGCCUAUUUGUGGUGUGGCAGCCCAGAUCGUCCCCCUCCCUCCCUCAUCCUCCUCCUCCUCUAGCAAAGAAGAGACGUUUAAUCAGCUAGUGGACAGGUUGUUGUUGUUGUUGUUAUUGUUGUUGUGGGGGUGGCGGUGGUAGUAGUGGCGGCGGUGGUUGUUCGUCUCUCUCUCUCUCUCUCUCUCUCAGGCGGUGGUGGGGGGGCGGGAGGGCGUAGUCUCGAGGAGGCUGGCAGAGGUUAUGGAGGGGUCCUGGUAUCCUCCCUCUCCCUCACUCCCUCGCUCCCUCCUUGGGCUCUCUCCGGAACGUAAGUAGUAGUAGUAGUAGUAGUUUAUUAUUAUUAUUAUUAUUGUUAUUAUUAUUAUUAUUUUAUUAUUAUUAUUAUUAUUAUUAU